rnacentral:piRNA from 1 species
UACAGGGAACCGACUCCCCCAC